CAUUAAAUAUCUAAAUGUAAGAUGUGGCCUCUUAAGCCUAAAAUAGUAAAUUAACAAAUACUUUUAAUGA
rnacentral:tRNA from 1 species